AUUAAACGCUGGCGGCAUGCCUUACACAUGCAAGUCGAACGGCAGCACGGGGGCAACCCUGGUGGCGAGUGGCGGACGGGUGAGUAACACAUCGGAACGUGCCCUGGAGUGGGGGAUAACGCAGCGAAAGCUACGCUAAUACCGCAUAUUCUGUGAGCAGGAAAGCAGGGGAUCGCAAGACCUUGCGCUUUGGGAGCGGCCGAUGUCGGAUUAGCUAGUUGGUGGGGUAAAGGCUUACCAAGGCGACGAUCCGUAGCGGGUCUGAGAGGAUGAUCCGCCACACUGGAACUGAGACACGGUCCAGACUCCUACGGGAGGCAGCAGUGGGGAAUUUUGGACAAUGGGCGCAAGCCUGAUCCAGCCAUGCCGCGUGAGUGAAGAAGGCCUCGGUUGUAAG
rnacentral:rRNA from 1 species